CACCGCGGUUAUACGGAAGGCUCAAGUUGAUAGCCCCCGGCGUAAAGUGUGGUUAAGGAACCCCCUCAAACUAAAGUCAAACGCCCUCACUGCAGUCAUACGCCCCCGAGGGUAAGAAGCCCCACCACGAAAGUGACUUUAUAUAGCCUGAACCCACGAAAGCUAGGGAA
rnacentral:rRNA from 1 species